rnacentral:rRNA from 1 species
AACCCGACUACAUGAAGCUGGAAUCGCUAGUAAUCGCGGAUCAGAAUGCCGCGGUGAAUACGUUCCCGGGUCUUGUACACACCGCCCGUCACACCAUGGGAGUCGGAAAUGCCCGAAGUCUGUGACCUAACCGAGAGGGAGGAGCAGCCGAAGGCAGGUCUGAUGACUGGGGUGAAGUCGUAACAAGGUACC